UACGAAGGGGGCUAGCGUUGUUCGGAAUUACUGGGCGUAAAGCGUAUGCAGGUGGAUUGUUAAGCCAGGGGUGAAAUCCUGAGGCUCAACCUCAGAACUGCCUUUGAUACUGGCAAUCUUGAGUCCGGGAGAGGUUAGUGGAACUGCGAGUGUAGAGGUGAAAUUCGUAGAUAUUCGCAAGAACACCAGUGGCGAAGGCGGCUAACUGGCCCGGUACUGACGCUGAGAUACGAAAGCGUGGGGAGCAAACAGG
rnacentral:rRNA from 1 species